GGAGGGCUUGUGGCUUAGUGGUAGAGAAUCUGCCUGGCCUCCAGAAGGUCCCGGGUUCAAUACUUGGCAUCUCCA
rnacentral:tRNA from 1 species